rnacentral:rRNA from 1 species
GAUGAACGCUGGCGGCGUGCCUAAUACAUGCAAGUCGAGCGACCGGACUUUAAGCUUUCUUCUCUGCUGUUUGCGUCUUACGUGUGAGUAACACGUUCAUCACCUUCCUCUUUUUCUUGGUUUACUUCGUGAAACCGGUUCUCCUACCGCCUAAUAUUUUGUACCGCUUGUUUCAUAAGUUCUUGACGUUCUUCCUGUCUCUUUUAGCUGUUUCCGCGCUGCAUUAUCUAGUUGGUAAGGUAACGUCUUACCAAGGCAACGAUGCAUAGCCGACAUGAGAGGAUGAUCGGCCACACUGGAACUGAGACACGGUCAAGAAUACUACGGGAGGCAGCAGUAGGGAAUAUUCAGCAAUGGGCGAAAGCAUGACGGAGCAAAGCCGCGUGAGUGAUGAAGGUCUUCGGAUCGUAAAACUCUGUUAUUAGGGAAGAAAAGAAGAGGAAGAAAAAGGGGAAAUAGUGACGGUAACAAAACAGAAAGCAACGGCUAACUACGUG